rnacentral:piRNA from 1 species
UGGUGCUGCGACUUUGCAUGUAGAACACUC